CAACAUUUUCCCUAAAGUCGCCCCCGUGUUUCAUUCCAAAAGCAUCGUGCACCAUUUCUGUCAUCCUAGUAACUUGAUAUUCAUUAUACCCUGCAGACCUACUACUUUCUCUAAUAACAAAGUUAUUUUGCUCAACAUCACCAUCAAUAGUACGCAAUCUUAAAAAGUCCUCGUGAAACCCCCUUCUAUAAAGAUGUUCCUUCACAACUUCUUCUUUUAAAAGAUUUAUACCAUCACAUCU
rnacentral:lncRNA from 1 species